rnacentral:rRNA from 1 species
AUUGAACGCUGGCGGCAGGCCUAACACAUGCAAGUCGAGCGAGCGGCGGACGGGUGAGUAAUGUCUGGGAAACUGCCUGAUGGUGGGGGAUAACUACUGGAAACGGUAGCUAAUACCGCAUACCAUCAGAUGUGCCCAGAUGGGCUUAGCUAGUAGGUGGGGUAAUGGCUCACCUAGGCGCCGAUCCUUAGCUGGUCUGAGAGGAUGACCAGCCACACUGGAAUAGUGACCCGGUCCAGACGCCUACGGGAGGCAGCCGUGGGGAAUAUUGCACAAUUGGCGCAAGCCAGAUGCAGCCAUGCCGCGUGUGUGAAGGAGGCAUUCGGGUUGUAAAGCACUUUCAGCGGGGAGGCGUUACCCGCAGAAGAAGCACCGGCUAACUCCGUGCCAGCAGCCGCGGUAAUUC